AGUUUGAUCCUGGCUCAGGACGAACGCUGGCGGCGUGCCUAAUACAUGCAAGUCGAGCGGACAGAUGGGAGCUUGCUCCCUGAUGUUAGCGGCGGACGGGUGAGUAACACGUGGGUAACCUGCCUGUAAGACUGGGAUAACUCCGGGAAACCGGGGCUAAUACCGGAUGGUUGUUUGAACCGCAUGGUUCAGACAUAAAAGGUGGCUUCGGCUACCACUUACAGAUGGACCCGCGGCGCAUUAGCUAGUUGGUGAGGUAACGGCUCACCAAGGCRACGAUGCGUAGCCGACCUGAGAGGGUGAUCGGCCACACUGGGACUGAGACACGGCCCAGACUCCUACGGGAGGCAGCAGUAGGGAAUCUUCCGCAAUGGACGAAAGUCUGACGGAGCAACGCCGCGUGAGUGAUGAAGGUUUUCGGAUCGUAAAGCUCUGUUGUUAGGGAAGAACAAGUGCCGUUCAAAUAGGGCGGCACCUUGACGGUACCUAACCAGAAAGCCACGGCUAACUACGUGCCAGCAGCCGCGGUAAUACGUAGGUGGCAAGCGUUGUCCGGAAUUAUUGGGCGUAAAGGGCUCGCAGGCGGUUUCUUAAGUCUGAUGUGAAAGCCCCCGGCUCAACCGGGGAGGGUCAUUGGAAACUGGGGAACUUGAGUGCAGAAGAGGAGAGUGGAAUUCCACGUGUAGCGGUGAAAUGCGUAGAGAUGUGGAGGAACACCAGUGGCGAAGGCGACUCUCUGGUCUGUAACUGACGCUGAGGAGCGAAAGCGUGGGGAGCGAACAGGAUUAGAUACCCUGGUAGUCC
rnacentral:rRNA from 1 species